UCCUCUCCUCUCCUCUCCUCUUCUCUCCUGCUCCCCCCUCCUCCUCUUCCUCGUCUCACAUUUUUCAUUCCUGGGUGACAGAUGGGAGCCUUCAGACUUUCGACACUCCCCAAACUUCAAACUCUCUCUCUUUGAAAGAAGAAAAUGAGGGAAUGGUGAGGGACUCUGAAAGUUCCAGACCAGUGAGAAGCUCUCAAAACUCAGGUAGCCACGAUGCACCAGUGAACAGACGUCCCCAAACCCUGCUGCUGCAGGCAUUCGUUGCCGACAAGGAAAGACAGCAGAGAAAAAACAUGAAGUCCCUACUCUGCGGUUGGGAUGCUGAGGGAGGCCAGGAAGACUAGACAAACGGUUGUUCCUUCCCUGGAGUCCUGGACCCGGCUUUCGCUAAAAAGAAAUGGCUCCCCACAAAAGCCAUGGAGUUCUUUUAUUUCCCGAUUGUCGUGCCAGGUGUUUCCAGGGGCACUCGAAGCUGGUGGAGGAAGUAGAAUGAACCCAGGCUUAGCCCAGGGAGUCAGGGCUUUCCAGCCUCUCUGCUCCUCUCUGACCUUGAGCAGGUCCCUCCCGGCACACUGGGGGCUUGCAAACUACAGGGUAUGGGCUUCCUUUCCUUGUGCAUCUCUUGGUUGUGGUGAGAAGCAACAAGAGGCACUUUGGAAAAGUCGAGAGCAUCACAUGACCUCCAGGCUGGAUUCUGGAUCCCUCUUCAUCCAAGAUGGCAGUGGGAGCCUUCAGCCUGAUUCCUUCCUUUUCUCAUUUAUCUGUUCCUGCCUCACUGGAGAAGCACCGAGAGCCCCUGUACCAGAUGCUGUUAUUUUCUCAGAGACUGAGGAUACCCACAGGCUCCUGGGAAAUCAGAGGGAGGAGGGAGCAAGUCUAAAUAAACAAUAAUUA
rnacentral:lncRNA from 1 species